rnacentral:rRNA from 1 species
CAGCCGCCACGGUAAUACAGAGGGUGCGAGCGUUAAUCGGAUUUACUGGGCGUAAAGCGUGCGUAGGCGGCUUCUUAAGUCGGAUGUGAAAUCCCUGAGCUUAACUUAGGAAUUGCAUUCGAUACUGGGAAGCUAGAGUAUGGGAGAGGAUGGUAGAAUUCCAGGUGUAGCGGUGAAAUGCGUAGAGAUCUGGAGGAAUACCGAUGGCGAAGGCAGCCAUCUGGCCUAAUACUGACGCUGAGGUACGAAAGCAUGGGGAGCAAACAGGAUUAGAGACCCCAGUAGUCCCUGUCUCUUAUAC